rnacentral:tRNA from 1 species
GCCUGGAUAGCUCAGUUGGUUAGAGCAUGGUGCUGAUAGCGCCAAGGCGGCAGGUUCGACCCCUGUAUGGGACA